AUUGAACGCUGGCGGCAGGCCUAACACAUGCAAGUCGAACGAGUGGCGGACGGGUGAGUAAUGUCUGGGAAACUGCCCGAGGGAGGGGGAUAACUACUGGACACGGUAGCUAAUACCGCAUCCCAUCGGCUGUGCCCAGAUGGGAUUAGCUAGUAGGUGGGGUAACGGCUCACCUAGGCGACGAUCCCUAGCUGGUCUGAGAGGGUGACAAGCGAACCUGGAACUGGACCACGGUCCAGACACCUACGGGAGGCAGCAGUGGGGAAUAUUGGGCAAUGGGAGGGAGCCUGAUGCAGACAUGCCGAAUGUAAGAAGAAGGCGUUCGGGUUGUAAAGUAGUUUCAGCGAGGAGGCGUUAAUCGCAGAAGAAGCACCGGCUAACUCCGUGCCAGCAGCCGCGGUAAUAC
rnacentral:rRNA from 1 species